rnacentral:rRNA from 1 species
AUUGAACGCUGGCGGCAGGCCUAACACAUGCAAGUCGAACGGUAACAGGAAGAAGCUUGCUUCUUUGCUGACGAGUGGCGGACGGGUGAGUAAUGUCUGGGAAACUGCCUGAUGGAGGGGGAUAACUACUGGAAACGGUAGCUAAUACCGCAUAACGUCGCAAGACCAAAGAGGGGGACCUUCGGGCCUCUUGCCAUCGGAUGUGCCCAGAUGGGAUUAGCUAGUAGGUGGGGUAACGGCUCACCUAGGCGACGAUCCCUAGCUGGUCUGCGAGGAUGACCAGCCACACUGGAACUGAGACACGGUCCAGACUCCUACGGGAGGCAGCAGUGGGGAAUAUUGCACAAUGGGCGCAAGCCUGAUGCAGCCAUGCCGCGUGUAUGAAGAAGGCCUUCGGGUUGUAAAGUACUUUCAGCGGGGAGGAAGGGAGUAAAGUUAAUACCUUUACUCAUUGACGUUACCCGCAGAAGAAGCACCGGCUAACUCCGUG